CUGCUCUGUUCACGAGUUGAGUGAUGAAGCCGAAGCACAACAAGUCUGCGCUGCUGCGAGCACGAGGUAGACGAAGACCUACGCCUCAGAUUCAUGAAUCGAAUUGAUUGGCGCAACCACCAUUGCUGCAUCCGCAAUGCAGCUGAUGAUGAGUAGAGUACUCUAUCUGAUCGAGAAGGAAGGAAAUGGUGGUUCAGCCUUCCCUGACAUAUGCAUACUAGUAACAUUCAAGUCACGAGCAAGCACAGUGCUUGCAACGCAGCAUUGCAUGGGGAGAUGGAGAAGACUACAGAGAUAGGGAGGCAGGCUGCAGCACAAGAGCUGAUGAUGAUGAUGGACAUGGUGGAGUCUGCAAAUAACUAAACGGGAAAGUAGGAGUACUUAAAUAAACAAAAGGAAAGCUGCAGCCGGAGGGAGAUUAGCUGCUGGCGCUGGGUUAGGUUAGGGCCAAGAAGAAGAGAUUAGGGCGGGCUCGCAGUCGGUCAGAGUCGGUCGGUCUCGGCCUCUCCUCGGUCCUCUCAAAAGCCUGCGUGCUGCCAUUAAUUUC